rnacentral:rRNA from 1 species
UACGGAGGGUGCAAGCGUUACUCGGAAUCACUGGGCGUAAAGCGCGCGCAGGCGGCUAGAUAAGUUGGAAGUGAAAUCCUAUGGCUCAACCAUAGAACUGCUUCCAAAACUGUUUAGCUAGAGUCUGGGAGGGGAAGAUGGAAUUAGUAGUGUAGGGGUAAAAUCCGUAGAGAUUACUAGGAAUACCAAAAGCGAAGGCGAUCUUCUGGAACAGUACUGACGCUGAGGCGCGAAAGCGUGGGGAGCAAACAGGAUUAGAUACCCUGGUAGCCCACGCCCUAAACGAUGAAUGUUAGUCGUCGGGACUCUAGUAGUUUCGGUGAUGCAGUUAACACAUUAAACAUUCCGCCUGGGGAGUACGGUCGCAAGAUUAAAACUCAAAGGAAUAGACGGGGACCCGCACAAGUGGUGGAGCAUGUGGUUUAAUUCGAAUACGCGAAGAACCUUACCUAGCCUUGACAUAUUUUAGAACUCCGCAGAGAUGUAGAGGUGCCUUCGGGAGCUAAUAUACAGGUGCUGCACGGCUGUCGUCAGCUCGUGUCGUGAGAUGUUGGGUUAAGUCCCGCAACGAGCGCAACCCUCGUUCUUAGUUACUAACGGUUCGGCCGAGGACUCUAAGAAGACUGCCUUCGUAAGGAGGAGGAAGGUGAGGACGACGUCAAGUCAUCAUGGCCCUUACGGCUAGGGCAACACACGUGCUACAAUGGUUAGGACAAUGAGACGCAAUACCGCGAGGUGGAGCAAAUCUAUAAACCUAAUCUCAGUUCGGAUUGUAGUCUGCAACUCGACUACAUGAAGCUGGAAUCACUAGUAAUCGUAGAUCAGCUAUGCUAC